rnacentral:tRNA from 1 species
AGAAAGUUCCUUGUUAAUAGGCUGGUGUCUUGAAAAUACCAUGUUGGGAGGGAAGAGCUCUCAACUUUCUU